AACGAACGCUGGCGGCAUGCCUAACACAUGCAAGUCGAACGAGAUCUUCGGGUCUAGUGGCGCACGGGUGCGUAACGCGUGGGAAUCUGCCCUUUGGUUCGGAAUAACAGUUGGAAACGACUGCUAAUACCGGAUGAUGACGAAAGUCCAAAGAUUUAUCGCCAGAGGAUGAGCCCGCGUAGGAUUAGCUAGUUGGUGUGGUAAAGGCGCACCAAGGCGACGAUCCUUAGCUGGUCUGAGAGGAUGAUCAGCCACACUGGGACUGAGACACGGACCAGACUCCUACGGGAGGCAGCAGUGGGGAAUAUUGGACAAUGGGCGGAAGCCUGAUCCAGCAAUGCCGCGUGAGUGAUGAAGGCCUUAGGGUUGUAAAGCUCUUUUACCCGGGAUGAUAAUGACAGUACCGGGAGAAUAAGCUCCGGCUAACUCCGUGCCAGCAGCCGCAGUAA
rnacentral:rRNA from 1 species